rnacentral:rRNA from 1 species
UGCGUAGGCGGGCCAAUAAGUCAGUGGUGAAAUCUCUCGGCUCAACCGGGAAACUGCCAUUGAUACUGUUAGUCUUGAGUUCGGUUGAGGUAGGCGGAAUGUGUAAUGUAGCGGUGAAAUGCUUAGAUAUUACACAGAACACCAAUUGCGUAGGCAGCUUACUAGACCGACACUGACGCUGAGGCACGAAAGCGUGGGGAGCGAACAGGAUUAGAUACCCUGGUAGUCC